GCAAGCUAGCUGCAAACACGAAAGUUGAGCAUGUGCUCAAUGGAUGUCUCUUCUUGCAAGGGAUUUGAACAUGAGAUUAAGGAGUAUUCAAGACAAUUUCUUUCAUAUAGCAUGCAGCCAAAGAGUUUUCACGGUGGAUUUGAGGGAAAAAGCCAUCAAAUAAACAGGUAGUAUGGAAACCACUUGUGCCAGCGUAUGCUUGAGGGGAGUUACAGGCCGGCACUUAAUAAUCAUAAACUCCGCCAGGGUGUUCAUGACCGAAGACCCAACCUAAACAGUUUCCCGAGCCCGAGCCCACUAAUGAUGGAGAGCCAUCUUCUGCCAUGAUCCACAAGCCAGAGCAGAGCCAAGCGACUGAGAAGUGUGAGCGCAGAGAGGUGCUCCGGCCCCUGCAUCACAGUUGAGGGGGAGCUGAGUAUGAAGCGGUGUUAGUGCCAAAACCAGGAGGUUUAUCUAAUGAACUGGGAGUCUGAACUGGAGAUUGAAAUGCCCCCUCUCCUCCCUACAUCUUCUCUGCUGGUCCCGUCCAGCCCUACUGUAUACAGGCCACCAGGGAACCAUAAAGACUUUAUUAAAGAG